rnacentral:rRNA from 1 species
GACAGAGGCCCCAAGCUUUAGUCGGAAUCACUGGGCUUAAAGGGUGCGUAGGCGGGCGUGUAAGUGUCUCGUGAAAGCCCCGGGCUCAACCCGGGAACCGCGGGGCAUACUGCACGUCUUGAGGAAGCUAGAGGCCGGUGGAACGAUCGGUGGAGCGGUGGAAUGCGUAGAGAUCGAUCGGAACGCCAAGGGUGAAGACAACCGGCUGGGGCUUUCCUGACGCUGAGGCACGAAAGCGAGGGGAUCAAACAGG